ACAAACACUCAAUACAGACUCUAGUCUGUAUACAUUCUAUCUUCUGAUGCAUAGGUUAAAAAUGAGUCCUAUCUCUCAUUCUUAUGAGCUAUCGAAAUUUGGAAUUGCACUGCCAAGACUAUACGUCAGAUGUACCUGUGAAGAUUGCACAAUACGGUUAGUAGCAGAUUUAUGGGUCUACACCGAGGCUCGAGUUUGUUGACCGAAGAGUUCCUUUCUCUACCGAUGCUUCGCAUUAAAUCUCUCGCUACUCGCACCUGGAUUGUGUUUUCUGUGACAUCUGACAGUCUAAAGCACGAACAGUGUUUUUUAGGAGCAGAAUGGAAAGUAACAGUAAAAUGUUAUCCUGAAAAUAAUUUUACUACCGAAGCUUUGAGGUAGUUUGAUUACUGUUUGGAAAAGUUUAGGAUGGGAGUG